GACGAACGCUGGCGGCGUGCUUAACACAUGCAAGUCGAACGGAAAGGCCCUGCUUUUGUGGGGUGCUCGAGUGCGAACGGGGGAGUAAAAAGGGGGGUACCUGGCCUUGGCUUUGGGGUUAAUUCAGGGAAAUUGGGCUAAUACCCGGUUAGGAGUCCUUCUGCCUUGGGGGGGGUGGGAAGUUUCGGCGGUUGGGGAUGGACUCGCGGCUUAUCAGCUUGUUGGUGGGGUAGUGGCUUACCAAGGCUUUGACGGGUAGCCGGCCUGAGAGGGUGACCGGCCACAUUGGGACUGAGAUACGGCCCAGACUCCUACGGGAGGCAGCAGUGGGGAAUAUUGCACAAUGGGCGGAAGCCUGAUGCAGCAACGCCGCGUGCGGGAUGACGGCCUUCGGGUUGUAAACCGCUUUCGCCUGUGACGAAGCGUGAGUGACGGUAAUGGGUAAAGAAGCACCGGCUAACUACGUG
rnacentral:rRNA from 1 species